CUCUCUAGAGAAAUCUACUAUCUUCUAAAGCUAAUGGGUCUGCCUUCACCUUUUAUUUUAUGUCCAAUAUAAAUUAAAGCCUCCAUUUCACUCCUUGAAUUAGACCCAAUUUUCAUCACAUGAAAAUUAAUUACCUAUCUAUGAAUUUAUUUUUAGGAACCUUGAAGAAAACAAUUAAUUGCCCAUCUCAUCCAUGCCCCUCUUCUAGCUAAAAAUCAAGUUAGGAGGUUGGAUUAAAGAUAAAUUUCAAGUUAAAGUUUCGGGGAAUGCACUCUAGGUGGAAGGAAAAUCAAGUUUAGAAUAACUUGAAGGAGAAGUGGGAAAUUCGAAAGGAAAGGAAAAGGAGAAGUGAAAAAGAGAAAGGAGAGAAGGAAUUAAGGGAAACUUGGAGCAAGGAGGAGCUAAUGGAGGCUAGAAUUCUCCUUACACUCUUCUUGGCUGAAAUUGUAUUUCCAAAUUGGGAGAUGAUUUUGCUUACAUUAUUUGACUAGGAUAAUCUUCUUUUUUUUUUUAAUUUUCAAAUAUGAUUUGGUUUAUUUUCUUUGUUGUAAUUUUAUUUUAUUUUAUUAUUUGCUUCUUAUUUUAUUUUUUCCUAUUAUGAAAAUUUUAGUUUUGGUAAUUGAGCAUCAAAGAAAGAAGGAUAGCACAUUCUUGUCUUAUUUUUAACCAUGGCCUGCGCCCUCUCCCAUCCUUGGCUUGAGUUGCUUGUUUUAGUAGAUCAAUGGUUGAUCCAAGCAGCCCAUGGGCAUCUUUGAAGACUCUUUGCAAAGGGUUAUGAUUUUAAAGACUUUGUAAUAAUUUAUUUUAAAUUAUUUUAAUUAUAUUUAGAAUGUAAUUAGUUCUUUUCUC